rnacentral:rRNA from 1 species
UACGAAGGGGGCUAGCGUUGUUCGGAUUUACUGGGCGUAAAGCGCACGUAGGCGGAUCGUUAAGUCGGGGGUGAAAUCCUGGAGCUCAACUCCAGAACUGCCUUCGAUACUGGCGAUCUUGAGUCCGGAAGAGGUGAGUGGAACUCCUAGUGUAGAGGUGGAAUUCGUAGAUAUUAGGAAGAACACCAGUGGCGAAGGCGGCUCACUGGUCCGGUACUGACGGCUGAGGAGCGAA